CAAAAGACUCUUUUAAGAGUCACUUAUGAUGAAACAGAAGUGUGCAU
rfam:Homo sapiens chromosome 10, GRCh38 reference primary assembly.